rnacentral:rRNA from 1 species
AUGAAGUCGUAUAGUCUUCAGCGUAGGGCCUCACCGGCGGCAGGCGGCGCGCCAGCGCUCCAGCGGAGCGCGAGCGCGAGGAUGGCGCCCUCCCCGUCGCCACUCAGCGUCUCCUCCUCCUCCUCCCAGUACCAGUCGGCGCGCGCCUCGACGUCCACGGCCAACGCGCCGGCGUUCACACGCCACAAGGCGCCGUCCAUCAACUGCAUGGCGGCCACGUCCACCGACACGCCGCCGGCCACCCCCAGGGGCACCAAGAAGCAGCAGCCCAAGUCGGCGUCGUACUCGUCGAUGUUCUCCCCGAGGAAGCUCAUGCAGCGGGCCUCCCGCGCCUUCCGCGGCGGCAGGUCGUCCCGGCGCAAGAAGAACCUGGCGGCGGCGGCGGACGUCGGCGAAGUGGACAGCCCCGGGUCGGUCGCCAGCAAGGGGUCCGACGCUGAGAGCAGCGUCUUUUCCAUGGACGAUCAGAUCAUCGACGACGUCGUCGACGCCGGAGCCGCCUCCAAGCAGGAGGAGAUCGUGCCGGAGAAGAUCAUACACGAGGCGAACCCGCCGUCGCCCGUGAUCCAUCAGCUGGCGCCCGUGGCAGAGGAACAGGACGAGGGGCACAAUAACUCGCCGAAGAAGGAGGACGCCGCCGUCGCUGAGAAGGAGAAGGAGGACGCCGCUGCCGCUGAAAAGGAGAUGGAGGACGUCGUCGCUGAGAAGGAGAAGGAGGACGCCGCCGCUGAGAUGGAGAUGGAGAAGGAGAAGCCCGAGAAGGAGGCUCCUCCUGCUCCGGAGGACACCGUCGCCGAAGUGGACAAGAUCGCGGUGGCCAAGAAGCUGCAGCGCGAGGAUGACAUCAAGGCGGAGGUGGUGAGGAGGUUCCAGGGCUGCCGGGUGAGGACGUCGACGGGGAAGCGGUCGUUCGAUGCUGAGACGCCGCGGCGGCGGGAGUCGGCACGCAGCAACGAGGCGGUCGAGGAGGCGCGGAUCAAGCUGCUGGAGCUGCGGCAGGUGAACAAGGUGAAGGCGCUCGUCGGCGCCUUCGAGACCGUCAUGGACGACAACCAAAGCCCCGCCACCGCCCGCAAGCCGCGGCUCAACCUCCACGCCUGA